UUGUGUGUCUGUGUUCAGAUCCCUGUUUUUGAGAAAUGACAAGAUAAGUGUCUGUAUAGAAGGGCUGGUAUUUCUCUUCAUUAGUGCUUCCACAUGUGACAGCUGAAGCUAGAGACACUGAGAAGGAAGAAGAAGGUAAUUCUGCAGCUACAAACUUCUGACUUUCCUUUAGUAGACUGACAGUGGACAUAGGACGUCUGUUCCCUACAGAAGUAUCAGUAACCUCAGACUGUCUCUCUGUAUCGAAGGUUAUCAUCAUCAUCUCAUCAUCUCCACCAUGAAGACUGUGUCUGCACUUGUUUGCACCAUGAUGGCUCUGACUAGUAAGUUUUGUAUGUAGCGACUGUAACAGAUGAUUGUGUUGUACAAUAACAGGUCAAUAACUGCUGUGCAUAUAUAUAUAUAUAUAAGUUCAUUUAAUAUGGUGAUAUAAUAAUUCCACGAUUAGAGCUUUAACCGGAGACUCCACAUUACCCACCAAACUCUAUUUGUUCUCUGCAAAGGGUCAUGUGGUCAAGAACUGGCUAUUUUGUUCUGUUGGUUGGACUAAGAUCAAUGGACACUAUUUCCUCUUCGUUCCACGAGCCAUGACUUGGGCUCAGGCUGAGAAAAAUUGUCAGUCCAUGGGUCACACCUUGCAUGUGUGUGUGGAGCUGAGGAGUAUCAUGGGAUUAAAAAGCUGAUAGCAGAUAAAACUCAUGGGAAUCUGCAGACAUCACUUGGAGCCUCUGACGGUGCAGAGGUAUAUCAUUCAUUCAUUUUUCAUGGUUGAAGGUUCAUUCUUGAUCCUGAAAUAAUAGUUUGACAUCCAUUAUCUCCGGAAGUCCAUGAUAUGUGACAUCCUCCCUAUGCGGACUUUGUCGCUCUGCAACAAUGUCACAUAACUUCAUCAUGACAUUUACAGCCACUAGAAGGCUUUUUUACUAAGACACGGAUAAGAAAGCAGGACAUAACUAGAAUGACAAGACAGAUACUAAGAAAACUUAAACAAGCGAAUGAACAAAGGACUAAACUCAGCUACAAAACCCUAAACAUGACAAGAUCAAAUAAAGCUAUAGAAACACAGAAUCCAAAAACAGACUAAAACAGGAAAGACAUGAACACAAAACACCUGCAUACAAACACUUAGAGCUGAAAUCAACGUAAGCGUCUUUAUACAACACUCCUUUUCCAUGUUUACCAUCGCGGGGAGGGGUGACAGUCGUGAACGGGAACAUUUCUCCACUUUGGGACAAAUCAAGGUUUUCUUAUCUUAUCUUAAUUAGGGUUAUAGGUUGCAUUUAAAGCAAUGCAUUUUACAUCCAAUCAAAGUUAGGAUGUUAACAAAUAAAUCAAACAAUGAAAAAGCUAUUUAUUGAUAUUCCCAAAGUUAUGUCCGAGACAAGACCAACACCAUCAAAAAGUGUUCUCGAGACCAAGACCAAGAACACUAGCCAGCGCUGUUUACAAAUGAAUCAUGGAGGUAAAUCAUAAAAUACAUUAUUUUGCAUGAGAGUAAUGGACUUGUGAAUGUACUGGUGUAGAUCAUUAAAGCUCUAUAAUUGAAAAAAAAGUGAGAUCAAUGUAUAAAUGUAUUCAUUUUUGCAUUUCACUUGAGCACAUACCUCUGUCAAGGCUGUAAAGCCUCUCCAUUUAUUAUUUUAAUGAGACAAAUUUUUUUAGUCUUCAUCAGCAUCAAAUGAUACAUUCUGCUAAAUAACCACGCUCAUGUCUUUCUGAUACACACAGGUAACAAAUGCUGGGAUGAUAUGCAGUGUCACAGUCACCUUGCAUCCGUCUGUGUAAAGAAAACCAGCUGAUUCCUGGGCUGACACAGAGGCAUGAAGCACCUGGAAAAAAUCACAAACACGAUGGAUGUUCUUUAAACUCAUCUCUCUUCAUACCAUCAGUAUCAUAUGUACCCUGAAGGCUCUAUAUCUCAUUUCAUGUCUUUUUUUAUUUUCUAUCGCUGUAACGCAACUUAAGGAAUGAAGCGACAAGUGAAUUAAGAAGAUCUGGACUGUCUCUGAGGCUUUGUGCCUUUAAUAAGAGCAGACUGAAUGUGUGAAAAGAAUGCUUUUAGCACCAACUUAUUCUGCAGAGUGAACUGUGCUUUAUUGUCAAAUGCAAAUUAAAAGCCUUGAAGCAUUGAAACAA